rnacentral:misc_RNA from 1 species
GAUGAAGAACGCAGCGAAAUGCGAUAAGUAAUGUGAAUUGCAGAAUUCAGUGAAUCAUCGAAUCUUUGAACGCACCUUGCGCUCCUUGGUAUUCCGAGGAGCAUGCCUGUUUGAGUGUCAUGAAAUUCUCAACCUUUUCAGCUUUCUUUGUUGAUCAGGCUUGGAUGUGGGAGUAUGCGGGCUUUUCAGAAGUCGGCUCUCCUGAAAUGCAUUAGCGGGACCUUUGUUGCCUGGCUUUGGUGUGAUAAUUAUCUACGCCAUUGUAGUCAAGCAGCUUAAAAUGAGGUUUCAGCUUCUAACCGUCUCCCCUGAGACAACUUUUUGACAAUUUGACCUCAAAUCAGGUAGGACUACCCGCUGAACUUAAGCAUAUCAAUAAGCGGAGGA